AUCAACAGACGAGUGGACAGAACGAGGCCGGUCCGGGAUCAGUGGUGACUGCUGGUGGUGUCCGAGUUAUAGACGAAUGGACACCGCCGAGGUGACUCACGUGUGUUUCCACGGUCCCCGGUCCUUUGGUUGGGUCUCUGUGAGGACAGGAAGUCCAAGCUGAGACGUGACGGGUGUGUGCUUCGUGCUCUUGGGAGCGGAGAGGCCGGGCUGACUGGCAUUCUGCUGUGACCCAGGCUGUGCCAAGAAUGGACUGGGCGCCCGGAUCCGAUCGAAGCCUUCUGUGGGGUCACAUGCUGUGUGGUUGCUGCACGUUUUAGGAGCCCAGAGAUUAACGAUUCGUCCUUGGCCAUGCGCUCUGUGGUGGCAGGUCUGCCGGGAGCCCGGGGAACUCUGGGAGGAGCAACAAGUGCCCUGGCUGGCCAGGCUUUCCACGGGUUCUCUGUUACUGAAAAGUAUGAACGAUCGCUAGUCAGAGAAGGCGCACGGAGCCCGUAGACACGCGGGGGUGAGCUCCAUCGCGGGGACCUCGGGGACUUCGUGGCCACAGCCGUGUGCCUGCGCCUGCCCGUGAAGCCUGGAGACCCUAGAGUAACGGUCAGUGUUCUUGCCUCGGGCGUCUCAGCUGGACUUUUAGAAAUCGGAGGACAUAAUAAAGACAGCCAACGUAGGCCAGUGGCAAACACGAGAUUGGUGCCAAGUGUCUGUAAAUUCUUAGGAAUAAUGUCACAGGAAAUUAAUGCCAGCAUAAAUACACAGAUUAUACCAAGGACUGAUG